rnacentral:rRNA from 1 species
UACAGAGGGUGCAAGCGUUGUUCGGAAUUAUUGGGCGUAAAGGGCGCGUAGGCGGUGCCACAAGUCACCUGUGAAAUCUCCGGGCUUAACUCGGAGCCUGCAGGCGAAACUGUGGUGCUGGAGUGUGGGAGAGGUGCGUGGAAUUCCGGGUGGAGUGGUGAAAUGCGUAGAUAUCGGGAGGAACACCAGUGGCGAAGGCGGCUUCCUGGCCUGUUCUUGACGCUGAGGCGCGAAAGCUAGGGGAGCAAACGGG